UGUUCACUGUUAUUUUCAAGUUUGUCAUUGCCAUAUGUUGCUGCCGUGUUUUGACGUCUAUUAUCUCUGAAGAGUACUACAAAAGACUCCGCUGGCUUGCGAUAGAAAAUGAUUUGGGGGUAAGAAAACGAGGGCAGAGAAAGAGGAAGUAGAAUGCGACACAACCAAUAUGUGCUAGCUCCUUGCAGUUCUGACUCCCUCCUCUUCUCUACCAGUUUGUUCGGUAGUGUAUUGCGAAGAAUAAGAAAGGAGUUGGUGAUUGAGUAUAAUCUGACAUCGAUCAAAUUGGUAGUUAAGGUUUUACUUAUCGUACCUGAGAGCCGUUCUAUCAACAAGGUAAUUUUUGUCCCCUUUCGAAUCUACUAUGUCAUCUUUGCUUCUGUUGACAAUACAAAUAUAAUUUCCUUUCAAUCUUUAAAAGUAAGUUUAUUAGAAGCAGUUAUAGACUACUACUUGGAUUAAUGGUAACAUUACUGACUGAUAACUACCUUUAAUCUUUAAACUUGAGAUUUUAGCGUUCAGCUAUUUACCCUGUACAUUUAUCCAUUCUUUAAAGCAAGGAAUUGAUUCAAUGAAGGUAAUAGUCAUGACAGAACUAAGCAAAAACAUCAACUUUCCUGCUGGCUAAUACGGGUUUGUAAAUUGCCAAGGAAAUUGAUAUGUUAACAUGUGAUUUGAAAGUAGAUGACACUAGAACAAAACCCCUAUUAGAUGACUAGCAAUGAUGGAGGAAAAUAAGAGUAUGGACUUGAUAGAGAAUAUAGUUGAUUCUGGUGUUUUCUGAUAAUUAGAAAAAGAAAAAAAAUUAGAUACUCUGAUUGAGGAAUUGAAUGUGCGAUGAAGCAAAUGCAUCUCUAAUUACAGUAAAUACUAGUGGGGAGGCCACGCUAUGCGAUGACCUGUUGUAGCGGCGAUGUUGCAGUUGAGGGUGUACUGCUUUUAGCAGUUCAAGGAUGAACUGAUAGUACUGGUAGACAUCUGCGUGAAUGAACAUAGUCUAUAGUUUUGUUGGUCUUUCAUACAUUAUGUCUGAACAUGUGUAAGGCGAAAUUGAUAUUGUUAGUUUGUGGCCUAAUCUGAGGAUAACUUCAUGUUUUAUCAGUGGGGCCACUGAGUCACUGAUGUUCAUUGCCUUUUUGUUGCGAACAUAAGGAGUUGAGAAAGUUAAAAAAUAGCUUGUACGUUGAUCGUAAUAUGCUGAAGGUGUUUGAUGAAAUGUCUGUGAGCAGUGUAUGCAUUGAUAUGAAAAAUUAUUGUUAUCGACCAUCUUGGUUUCAGUCCUAUUAUGUUUGAUAGUUAUAUUUGGGAGAAGUUUUGAUUGUGAAGAAAUAAGUUGAAGGAAAGACACUACAAGAAGUAGGUAUAUAUGUUUGGUGGUCUCUCAGACAUUAUGUCAAACAUGUUUAGG